rnacentral:lncRNA from 1 species
AAUAUUUUCCUAAAAAUAGAGGAAUGAGCAAAUCUUCUGGGAAUAUCAUGUUUCAGACAUUAUGAAAGGUCAUGAGCAGGGGUAAAAACAAAUAAUACUGAAAUCCAAAACACAAGCCAAGUGAUGCCACCUUUUGGCAGAAGUCCUUGGCAUAAGGGCAGUUUGGGAGAUUGUAGCACCCUCAGGUCCUGAGGAACUGGCUGGGGGAGGCCAUUGGUUGCCACAUGAAGG